GACGAACGCUGGCGGCGUGCUUAACACAUGCAAGUCGAACGGUAAGGCCCCUUCGGGGGUACACGAGUGGCGAACGGGUGAGUAACACGUGAGCAACCUGCCCUUGACUCUGGAAUAACAGUUGGAAACAGCUGCUAAUACUGGAUAUUCAUCGUUCCCUUCCUGGGGGGUGGUGGAAAGCUCCGGCGGUCAGGGAUGGGCUCGCGGCCUAUCAGCUUGUUGGUGAGGUAAUGGCUCACCAAGGCUUCGACGGGUAGCCGGCCUGAGAGGGCGACCGGCCACACUGGGACUGAGAUACGGCCCAGACUCCUACGGGAGGCAGCAGUGGGGAAUAUUGCACAAUGGGCGCAAGCCUGAUGCAGCAACGCCGCGUGCGGGAUGACGGCCUUCGGGUUGUAAACCGCUUUCAGUAGGGACGAAGGGUGACUGACGGUACCUACAGAAGAAGGACCGGCUAACUACGUGCCAGCAGCCGCCGUAAAAC
rnacentral:rRNA from 1 species